AGGACGAACGCUGGCGGCGUGCUUAACACAUGCAAGUCGAGCGGUAAGGCCCUUUCGGGGGUACACGAGCGACGAACGGGUGAGUAACACGUGGGUGACCUGCCCUUAGCUCUGGGAUAAGCCUGGGAAACUGGGUCUAAUACCGGAUAUGACCUCAUGACGCAUGUUGUGGGGUGGAAAGCCUUGUGCGGCUAGGGAUGGGCCCGCGGCCUAUCAGCUUGUUGGUGGGGUGAUGGCCUACCAAGGCGACGACGGGUA
rnacentral:rRNA from 1 species